rnacentral:lncRNA from 1 species
UCUUUUCUUAGUUUCUUUCUCUUGGUGGGAUCUGUAAAAGGGUGCUGCAAGAUACGAGACUUUUUAAUCUCACGCCUUCGCUUAAAAAUGGCAGGAGAUAGAUGGUGAGGUAUGACAUAUACUGAAAACUCGCCCGACAUAGUUGGGGUACCAAACAACUUGGCAAUAUCAAUAACUGGAUCAUCAAUAGAGUAGUCAU